UUCUGUCACUUUGACUUUGCUUUUGAUUAUGAUAGCUGGUUUGCCAUGGAGUCAAUGGUUCUGAGCCUUCAAAAAUUGGAAGCCCUGAUUCUGAAUAUGGUGCUAUUCAGAGAUGGGGACAUUUAGGAAAUUGCUAGAUAGUGGGGGUAGACCUUUCACCCACAUAAUUGAUGUCCACUUAGGAAAAGCCCAGAGACCUCCUUUGAAGAAGACCAUUUCUACAUUUCAGCAGAUCAGCCAGUUACCAAAGGUCAUGGAUGGGAGGGCUGGCGGAGCGUUUCCUGAAGCCCCGGGCCUGACUCCCGGCUCCUGCUCCACUAUGGAAUUUAGUCCUUCUGUCCACAUGGAUCUGCCUUGGAAGGUGAAACUAUGGGUUAAAGAGAACUGAAUAUUAUGGCUUUUGCUGUGAAGCCCAGGCUCAUCUGGUACUUGCCGAGGAGCCUAGGUUGCUCUUCACUUUGCAACUCUCCUCCAGAAAUGCUCUGCCUGCAGGCCUGAAUCACCAUUUCUUGCUUGCACUAUGGUCCUGUUUCACUGAGGCACCCAUCGUGUUUCUCUUAUGGAGCCCACAGACACUUUUUGGUAAAACAUUUGGUCCUUGGUUUAUUUGGACAUGUUUGGUCCCACAUGACUGUUUGGACAAACAGACAAAGCGAACUCUUAAUGAAGAGACUAAUUUCAGGUACCUCUGAACCCACUCUGUGAAGUGUUCUAGGAAGACAGUGCUGAAGGAGACAUAAACAGAGACAGAGCCAGAGACAGAGGCUCAUACCUGAUUUCCAGUGAGAUCUGGAAGCUGUUGUGGCCUUCGGGGUUAUCACAAGUUAGAGGUACUGUCUGCACCCGGAGAGCAAAUGUAGACUGCUGCUUCUCCCAGUGCACGUUGUAUUUCAGCAUCGUCUGGGAGGUAGUGAGCAGAAAUCCUUUACCUCCAUGGCACUGGGCCCUUGGAUCCAUUUCUCCCGAUCUGAGCCCCACGUGUGCAGGCAGGCUAAGGAGACUUCCCCUUCUGGGGAGGAGGCUCACACCACACACCCACAACUUGCCCAGAACCUUACCUGAGCAUACACGCAUCCUUCUCCUGUCACACUGAUUUCAUAGUCCCCAGGAAGGUCAGGUAAAGGGACCUGCUGCAGUAACAGGCGUUUACUCUCCUCUACUUGGAACUUUUGGGAAAAUGUCCCUGAAGAUUGGAUGGUCACCAAAGGAAUUUUCUGACUUCUGGAGAAAGUAACUGCUCCAUACUUGGACAAAGCAUGGAGGGCCACCACAGUGUCCUGAGAGGGAUGAAGAAAACAUUCAGUUUAGCUUCAGUUGGGAAGGGCUUGAGUUCUUCCCAAUGUUCAUUUUAGCUGUGACAAAAGUCUCAUGAGUUUUUGUCUCUAAUCAUUUGAUCUCUAGUCUUUAUUUCAGACUUUAAUUCAGGAUAUAUUGGAAAAUCAAAACAUUCCUAUGAAUUGUCUCCCACACAGAGUGUCCUGGCUUAUGCAAACUCCCCCAGCCAGUGGAAAAUAGAAACACAAAUUAGAUUUUCCUCCCAGCAUUUACUGUUUCUCUCCCUUUGUCCCUGAUUCCCAUGGUGGUGCCACCAUCUUCUCACAAAAUCACAUUCCUGCUCUCAUCCCCAAACUUUCCUCUGCACUUGGGGAGGAAUCAAGAGACACCAACACCAUGGCCGAGUGCUGGUCAUGACUCUCUUAUCAAAUAGAAAACGCUGUGAGCUAGUGUUGUCCUUGGCUGCCUUGCUCCUUGGUGGCAUACUCCAGAGAGGCUCUCUCCCCCAGGAUCCUUCCUCAUCCAAGACAGCUCCAGAUGCUGCCUGACUACAGAGCCCAAAUAGGGAGCAGAAACAGGCAGUGAGGGCUUUAGCAUCACAAUGCGGACAGUAAAGGAAAUUAAGGACUGAAAGAAUUGAAUUAAAAUUGUAGGGUUCCUAGUGUCAUGGAAGGUUUCCCUUUGUACAUUUUAUUUCUCCUUUAGAGAAACCUACCAUCUCACUAAACUUCUCUGGAGAUUAGUUCUGACAUAUGUGCCCAAAAUACCUGGAACAUAAAUCAUUGAUAUUAUGGUAGAUAUGUUUUUUUGUAGAGGGGGAAUAUUAUCUCCUGAGAGUUAUAGUGACCACAUGAUAAGACAUAUGGUUUACAGUCCUAAUAGUUUCCAAUGUCAAGAGGUGAAGCAGGGCAGCAGGAGCUCCUGCUAGCUUGGGGUAAACCUGAGGGCAAUGUAUCCACACAGAAGAUUAGGAGAGUCUGCCAGGAGAAGGGAAACAGCUGUAUGUAAGGGCAGUGGGGCAAUAAAAAGGACAUUUUGAUCCA